rnacentral:lncRNA from 1 species
UGUAGAGGCUCGAUCGAAGAUCGAUUGUCGUGGGAGCUCAGAGUAGCAACCUGGCCGGUGGGUCCUGUCCCAUUGUAGAAGCUCAUCUGGGAUCUGACUAUGAAGAAGCUCGGCUGAAGUCUACCUGUAAUAGAAGUUCGAAAGAAAUAUGUUUACAGUAGAGGCCCGAAUGAAAUUUGCUUACAGUAGAGAUUCGGGGUAGACCGCCUGCUG